UCCUCUCCUCCCUUCCCCCUCUCUCCCCAUUCACCUCCAACCUUUCUCUCCACAUGCUGUGCUCUGGUCAGCCUCUAUUCCUUUCCUCUCUCUCUCUCUCUCUCUCUCUCUCUCUCUCUCUCUCUCUCUCUGCCUUUCUCUUUCUCUACUACCUUCUCAAGUCCCCCCCAUACCCUGAAUAAAUUCUAUUCUAUAUUAUACCUUCCAUCUGUGGCGGUUCCUCAAGGGGAAGGGAUGCCUCAGAAUGGGCCCUACAGAGGAGGUACCAUUUCCCCGAUUCCUGACUACACAUCCACCAAAUAUAUUCCUUCUCCCCUCAUCUUUUUAUAAAAUACACAGAAUUGGCAUAGAAACAGACAGGUAGAUCAAUGGAACCAAAUUCAAGACCCAGAAAUAAACCCACACACCUACAGAAACUUGGGUUUUGAACAAGGAAGCCAAGAAACCAUACAAUGGAAAAUGAAGAGCAUUUUUAACACAUGGUGUUGGUCUAGCUGGAUGCCUACAUGCAGAAGAAUGCAAAUAAACCCAUAGUUAUCACCCCGAACAAAAUGGAUCAAAGACCUUAAUGUAAAACCAGAUACACUAAAUAUAAUAGAACAUAAGAUGGGCAACAGCCUUGAACUCAUUGAUAUAGGAGAAAACUUCCUUAACCAGUGGCUCAGGCAUUAAAAUAAAAAAUUAAUAAAUAGGACCUCACAAAACUAAAAAA
rnacentral:lncRNA from 1 species